UCCUCACCCGCAUACUAGAGAUGAUGGUAAUAGUACCUAUCUCCUGUGGUUAGUGUGAGGAUUAACUGGAACAGUAAAUGGAAAGCUCUUGCAUAGGGCUUCACGUAGUGACUGCUCGAUAAGUAGUAGUUACUCGUAUUAUUUUCUUCUCCUGUGGCCCUUACCAUAACUCUGUGAAGGUACAGAGUUAACAUUGCUUUUACCUCUCACAGAGAACAGAGGAUCAUCUGAGAGGUUUUACAGAUGCAGCAACGAAGGUUGAGCAGGUUGAAGAACUUUCCUGAGGUCACUGCUAGUAAGAGGCAGUACAGGGUAACUGAAGCCACUGUUGGAAAGGGAUGGCAAUAUGAAUGAGAUAAUUUAGAGUGACCCGCAGAAAUCUGACUCGCGUUCUCCUUAAUGUACCGGACCCUGUACAUGUGGCAUUGCAUAUCUAUCUUCAGUUUCCUUCAACCGAAAUGACAACGAGAGAGAGACACGAGUGGCCAGGCCCAGCCGCAGCCGCAGCAGCAGCCGCCGCGGCGGCACGGAGGA